UAGUGAGUUUGAUCCUGGCUCAGGGUGAACGCUGGCGGCGUGCUUAAGACAUGUAAGUCGAACGGCAGUCUUCGGACUGUAGUGGCGCACGGGUGAGUAACGCGUAACUGACCUACCCCAAAGUCGCGGAUAACGGUUCGAAAGAAUCGCUAAUACGUGAUGUGCUGUCUGAUCUUGUUCUGCCAGUAAAGAUUUAUUGCUUUGGGAUGGGGGUUGCGUUCCAUCAGCUAGUUGGUAGGGUAAACGGCCUACCAAGGCGACGACGGAUAGCCGGCC
rnacentral:rRNA from 1 species